AUUGAACGCUGGCGGCAGGCCUAACACAUGCAAGUCGAACGAGUGGCGGACGGGUGAGUGAUGUCUGGGAAACUCCCUGAUGGAGGGGUAUCACUACGAGAAACGAUAGAUAAUACCGCAUCCCAUCAGAUGUUCCCAGAUGGGAUUCGCUAGUAGGGGGGGUAACGGCUCACCUAGGCGACGAUCCCUAGCUGGUCUGAGAGGAUGACCAGCCACCCUGGAACUGAGACACGGUCCAGACUCCUACGGGAGGCAGCAGUGGGGAAUAUUGCACAAUGGGCGCAAGCCUGAUGCAGCCAUGCCGCGUGUAUGAAGAAGGCCUUCGGGUUGUAAAGUACUUUCAGCGGGGAGGCGUUACCCGCAGAAGAAGCACCGGCUAACUCCGUGCCAGCAGCCGCGGUAAUAC
rnacentral:rRNA from 1 species